rnacentral:rRNA from 1 species
AAUGAACGCUGGCGGUAGGCUUAACACAUGCAAGUCGGACGGAAACGAUAGAAAAACUUGUUUUUCUAGGCGUCGAGUGGCGGACGGGUGAGUAACGCGUGGGAAUCUACCCUAUAGUUGGGGACAACGUAUGGAAACGUACGCUAAUACCGAAUAUGCUCUACGGAGUAAAGGUGCCCUCUCCUUGGAAGGUAUCGCCAUAGGAUGAGCCCGCGUGAGAUUAGCUAGUUGGUGGGGUAAUGGCUCACCAAGGCGACGAUCUCUAGCUGGUUUGAGAGGAUGAUCAGCCACACUGGGACUGAGACACGGCCCAGACUCCUACGGGAGGCAGCAGUGGGGAAUAUUGCACAAUGAGCGAAAGCUUGAUGCAGCCAUACCGCGUGUGUGAAGAAGGCCCGAGGGUUGUAAAGCACUUUCAAUUGGGAGGAAGGUUAAGUAGUUAAUACCUGCUUAAUUUGACGUUACCUUUAGAAGAAGCACCGGCUAACUCUGU